AAGUAAUGAAGUAAAAUUUACUAUUAGUUUCGACCUAAUCAUAAGGAAUUAAAUCCUCUUACUUU
rnacentral:tRNA from 1 species